AUUGAACGCUGGCGGCAUGCUUUACACAUGCAAGUCGAACGGCAGCGAGGAGAAGCUUGCUUCUCUGUCGGCGAGUGGCGAACGGGUGAGUAUAGCAUCGGAACGUGCCAAGUAGUGGGGGAUAACCAAACGAAAGUUUGGCUAAUACCGCGUAAGCUCUAAGGAGGAAAGUAGGGGACCUAAAUAAGGCCUUACGCUAUUUGAUCGGCCGAUGUCGGAUUAGCUAGUUGGUGGGGUAAUGGCUCACCAAGGCAAUGAUCCGUAGCGGGUCUGAGAGGACGAUCCGCCACACUGGGACUGAGACACGGCCCAGACUCCUACGGGAGGCAGCAGUGGGGAAUUUUGGACAAUGGGGGAAACCCUGAUCCAGCCAUGCCGCGUGUAUGAAGAAGGCCUUAGGGUUGUAAAGUACUUUCGUUAGGGAAGAAAAGCUAGUUUUUAAUAAAAAUUAGUGAUGACGGUACCUAAAGAAUAAGCACCGGCUAACUACGUG
rnacentral:rRNA from 1 species